rnacentral:rRNA from 1 species
GAUGAACGCUAGCGGCAGGCUUAACACAUGCAAGUCGUGGGGCAGCGCGGACCUCGGUCUGGCGGCGACCGGCAAACGGGUGCGGAACACGUACGCAACCUCCCUCAGAGCGGGGAAUAGCCUCUCGAAAGAGAGAUUAAAUACCCCAUAGUAUCUUGAAGACACAUGUCUAUGAGAUUAAAGCUUCGGCACUUUGAGAUGGGCGUGCGGCUGAUUAGGUAGUUGGUAGGGUAACGGCCUACCAAGCCGACGAUCAGUAGCUGAUGUGAGAGCAUGAUCAGCCACACGGACACUGAGACACGGGCCCGACUCCUACGGGAGGCAGCAGUGAGGAAUAUUGGUCAAUGGAGGAAACUCUGAACCAGCCAUGCCGCGUGGAGGAUGAAGGUCCUCUGGAUUGUAAACUCCUUUUAUAAAGAAGAAACCCCAUUUUUCUAAAUGGGUUGACGGUACUUAUGAAUAAGCACCGGCUAACUCCGUGCCAGCAGCCGCGGUAAU